GAAAGUGAUGGUGAUGGCCCCUGGGGUGAGCACAUAUCUGCUUUUACCUGGCGAGUGGUUUCAUGAAACGCAUCCCGAGCAACGCAACCACCGUCCAGAGCCUGCAGGAGACAGAAGGACCCCACUGCCAACGUCGCCACCCACUCACCCAAACACAGGGCGGCCUGGAAGCAGCAGACCCGGGUCCUGGAUUUUAUGGUCUCCCGGCUUGUCACCUCCUCCUCUCGGAGCUUCAUAACCCCGCGAAGGAGGCAAGACAGCUUGAAGCUCCAACCUGCAGGCUAGAAGGCAAGUGGGAUGGCUGGAGCUCCAGCAGCCUUCUCGAACUAUGAGGAAGAAACCAUGCCCGAGGGCUGGCAGGGCCACAAGACGGAAGGAGCCUGGGUCGCUGAUGCUAUGGAGCACCAUACCUGCUCUGGACUGACCUUUCCAAGUCUUCUUUUGCAUAACAAAGAAACUUCUAUUUUGUUUAAGCUGCUAUUAUUUUGAGUUUCCUGUCACUUGCAGUCAAAAGCUAGUGCUCACUGACCAAGCUCCUGAGAAAAAGAAGACAGAAACAGAGAAGCAGAAAGCAAUAACAGGCCGUACGCUGAUUCUGAACAUGGACUUGAUGUACGGGACACCGGCUUGUGAGAAAACGCAUGUGAAUCGGCCUGGAUGCACA